rnacentral:rRNA from 1 species
UACGAAGGGGGCUAGCGUUGCUCGGAAUCACUGGGCGUAAAGCGCACGUAGGCGGAUUCCUAAGUCGGGGGUGAAAUCCUGGAGCUCAACUCCAGAACUGCCUUCGAUACUGGGAAUCUUGAGUCCGGAAGAGGUGAGUGGAACUGCGAGUGUAGAGGUGAAAUUCGUAGAUAUUCGCAAGAACACCAGUGGCGAAGGCGGACUCACUGGUCCGGUACUGACGCUGAGGUGCGAAAGCGUGGGGAGCAAACAGGGAUUAAGAA